AAAGCCAUUGUCGAAACGUCAUGCGGUGCCGUCUGAAACUUGUAAAUAUUUCCACACAACUGCGCGACCGAAGGCUUGUCUGCAGCCCAACGAGCUGAUCAGGGUAGCACUGUGGCUGUCUAACAGAUGGGCUGACCAUGCAGGAAGUCCCCAGAUGGAGGCGCUGUUGACAUGAAGACAGUCAGACCUCAGAAGUAGAAACUGAAGGGACGAACCGGGAUUCAAACCCUGAAGCUCAGCGUUCCGAGCAUCGGACAAUUCCUUUACGCCACUGUCGUGUUAGCGGUUGCGCGGCUGCAGAAGUGGCCUGAUGAUGAGACAACCCAAGUAUAAGCGACACAAAGACAAAGGGGGGCUCGAACCCCCAACCUCUGCGUCCGUAGGCAAAGACAAUACCGUUGCGCCACCUUCUCUUCUGUGAAUCGGCCGGCUCUUCUGUGGGUAGAAGAAGAUGACACAACAGAAAUAUUUCCAAAAAAAAAAGAAAAAGCUGGAACCCCCCCGGCCGUGGCUGGCUCAAAUCUGCUGGGCGUGAUGCAGUGAAUGGAAGCUGAUGAGAAACGCCACCAUUAAUAAAAUUAUGCGGGACUUGAACCCUCAAGCUUCUGAUCCACAGACCAAGUCACUAACCACUACACCACAGUGGAUUUGUUGUGUUGAAGGCUGAUUCAGUAGAUAUAAGACUUUGAUAUCACAGAAACUUUGCCUUCAUCUACUAACUUUGGACCUGAAGGUGAUGAACCUUGUUACGUAUGUCUUACAGCUGGUUCUUAGAGCCACAGCAAAGAGGUGAGAUCGGGGAAGAGCCAGACAGACAGAGCAGAGCGGGGAUUGAACUUGCUACCUUGGGUUUCGUGGAACAGGGUACUCUGUCUUGCGCCACGAAACCCUUCAAGAGUUCCUGGGUGCUCAUUAGUGAACUUAUUCUCAGACCCAUCAGAAAAAUGAACUCUAAGAAACUGGCAAAAUAUAAACUGACACCCUAACAUAUUUUGGCUUCUUUAAAUAAUGCUUUUGAUUCAUUGAAGGAAUUCCUUUGCAUUUUGAUUUAUAAUUAGAACAACAGGUGACUGACAAGUCCCGUUCAAACAGAUGACCUAAUUAAAGGUGUAAUGUUGUUGCAUCUUAUAGGUGUGCAUGAAAGUGAUUAGUUGGUUAUAUUUUUAAUGCCUUUGAAUGUUUUCUUUCACAAGGAUGAAAAAUGAGAUUUAAUCUAGCCAGUAAUGUACUAUGGAGAACACUCAUAUUCUGUUUUUAUAAACUGCAGUGGAUAUGUAUUGGGGACAGGGCUUGUAAAUGCAUUUUAUUCUCUUUUAAAUAAUGAAAUGAAAUUAAUUGUGUUUUGGAAUUUUAUUCUGCAAUUCCAUUUCAGUCUUGAAAGUUGUGCUGCCAUUGCUGAAUAAAAAUAAUGCACAAUAAGAACAGUGA